UGGAAAGUCUAUACCUCUACUUAUCAUAUUUGGCACUUUUGUUUGAGUGGUUCUUGACCUUACGUGUUUUGCGGACGGAUUGUUAUGGCUGCUUGGCAUUUCACAUUGCGCUUCUAAGACAAACUUCCUUUGAGGUAAAACGCACAAACAUUUCGAGCCGAUGUCGACACAUCGUGGUCGUCGCCAACAAGAAAGUCGUCAUGUUCUGCAAGAACGUCGUCAAUAAUCUAAAAUUAUAAAAUUGUCCUCAAUUUGGUAAUGCUAUUUAGCUUAGUUUUUAUAAAUGUAAACAAAUAUCGCUAACUAUAACUAUAAUAAUCAC